GGGAAGGGCUCCGCCCGCAGCGCGAGGCCCGGAGGGGACGAGGGGGGAAUCCCUCUGCUAAAUCACGGCCCUGAGCACCACAUCCAGACGGAUUUUAAACACAUCCAGGGAUGGUGACUCCACCUCCUCCCUGGGGACCCCAUUCCAGUGCUUAACAACCCUUUCCGGAAAGAAGCUUUUCCUGAUAUCCAACCUAAACCUCCCCUGGUGCAACUUGAGGCCAUGUCCCGUCAGCUGUCAGCAGUGAGGAGAGACCAACCCCGCUCCCACCGCCAUCACCCUCCAGGUUUAAGGAGUGUUUUGGUUAGAAAGCGUGACCAAGAACCAUGAAGAAAGCAGUGUGAGCUGCUCAAGGAAGAGGCUGGCAACCCUGAACAAAAACCAGGAGCAUGGAGUUGUGAGAAAUCCUCAGGAAGGGCAAAAAAGCACAGUGAGUUUUCAUGCAGAACACAGGGAACGCAUCUGGAGGGAACAGGUGUUGAAAUGGAGCCUUCUCCUUGGAACCUGGGCACUGUUCCUCUCUCUGCCACAGAUCUCCACAGGGCCCUGGGUGUUUCUCUUGCAGUGGUGGUGUGAGCUUAGGCAAUACUAGAGGUAUCUAGAUGCACUGGAGCAUUGGGCCAUCAGCAACAGCAUGGAAUUUAACAUAAACAAGCAGCUGGCAAAUGCCAGAUUCUGCAAUAGGAACAGAGUAGCACUGCACAUAGGUUCAGACUGGGAGAUAAGCAGCUGGAGAGCAGCCCUGCAAGGGAGCAGCCUGGCAUGCUGGUUGACAGCAGUCUCAGUCUGAAUCUAUCUAUUCUGGGGUGCAUUACACAUAGCACAACCAGCCAUUCAAAAGAGGAGAUUCUCACACAUGUACCAUUGGUCUGGCCUCACUUAGAAUACUGUCUGCUGUUCUCAAUUUAAACAGGGUGUUAAGAUGCUUGAAUGUGUCCAGAGGAACACAACAGAGCUGGUAGAAGGGCAGGAAGGAAUGUCCUAUGAGAAGCAUCUGAGGACACUGGGUGUUAAGCUUGCAGGAGAGGUUGAGGAGUCACAGAAUCACAGAAUGGCCUGGGUUGAAAAGGACCAAAAUGAUCAUCAAAUUUCAACCCCCCUGCUAUGUGCAGGGUCACCAACCACCAGCCCAGGCUGCCCAGAGCCACAUCCAGCCUGGAUGUCACCUCACUGCUCUCCAUAACUGCCUGAGAAAGGAAAGUGUUCACCUUUCCUCUCUGUUAUCAGCACCAGGAUGCACAGCAAUGGAACAAAGCUGUGUUAGGGAAGGUUCAGACCGGACAUCAGGAAUAGCUUAUUUACUAUGAGGGUACUCAGACACUAGGACUGACUUCAUAGAGAGAUGGCUGUCCACGAUUAAGAGGCAUUUGGAUAACACCCUUCAACACAAUUUAACUCUGGUUCAGUUCCAGAGUAGCCUGCCAGCUGGAAGGGACCUACUAACAGAGAUUAUCGAGUCCAACUGCAACUAUUCUGUUCUGUACACAAUGCACUAGAAUGGGGCACCCAGUAACACCCAAACACCAGGUUAUUCACCACACAGAUCAGUGCUGUUACAUCUGCAUGGCAGAGGGAGGGGGGAGGGGAGGGCUCCUUCUGCCACCCUUUAGAAGAAAGUGUUCACAAAACUCUAUCACUGCUCUUUGCUCCAUCAG
ensembl:lncRNA